CUUAUAGGUAAGUUAGUGGCGAACGGGUGAGUACACGUAGAUACCAACCCUUAAGACGAGGAUAACCCGGGGAAACCUGGACUAAUACUGGAUAGGAGUUAUUUUCAGUAAGAAGAUAAUUUUAAAGGUGCUUUCAAGCAGCGCUAAAGGAUGGGACUGCGUCGCAUUAGCUAGUUGGUGGGGUAAUGGCCUACCAAGGCGACGAUGCGUAGCUGCGCUGAGAGGCGGAACAGCCACACUGGGACUGAGACACGGCCCAGACUCCUACGGGAGGCAGCAGUAGGGAAUUUUCGGCAAUGGACGAAAGUCUGACCGAGCAAUGCCGCGUGAACGAAGAAGGUCUUCGGAUUGUAAAGUUCUGUUAUUGGGAAAGAAAGUACAUAUUAGGAAAUGAGUAUGUAUUGACGGUACCCAUUGAGGAAGCCCCGGCUAACUACGUGCCAGCAGCCGCGGUAAUACGUAGGGGGCGAGCGUUAUCCGGAAUUAUUGGGCGUAAAGCGUGCGUAGGCGGAAUGUUAAGUCAUUUGUAAAAGAUCUCAGCCCAACUGAGUAAGGCGAAUGAAACUGGCAAUCUUGAAUACGGUAGAGGUAAGUGGCAUUCCAUGUGUAGCGGUGGAAUGCGUACAUAUAUGGAGGAACACAAUGGCGACAGCAGCUACUGGGCGGAAUGACGCGAGGCAAAAGCUGG
rnacentral:rRNA from 1 species